rnacentral:piRNA from 1 species
UGUGAUACUGUUGAUUGGGAAUAACUCCAU